rnacentral:lncRNA from 1 species
UAAUAAAGAAACUAGGUUACUAUUUUAGGUAACCAGCAUGUGAAACUUCACGUGAUUUGUUGAUAACCAAAUUGGUCCACACGACCACACCCUUCACAUCAUUUGGAUUUAUUUAUUUAUUUUUAGUACUCUCACUUUUUCUUCCUUGCUAUAAAAAUUUAUAGCCGUGAACUGCGAGAAAAGGAGCAAGACGUCAAAUAGAACGAUUUGGACAGGUGGGCUCAACCUCGAUCCAAUUAAAGAGGCUCGACACCGAGCUUAUUGUGUAGAAGUAGACUCGAUCGCGAGCUCCUGAUAUCUUGGAUUACAGGGAUAGGCUCAACCUCAAGUUUAUCUUCUGGGUACCUUAAAGAAAGGAGACGAUGUGCGGCAUUUUCACCCCUCCAAUGCUAAAAUAUAUUAAUGCAAAGAUAUCAUAAGCGUGAUGGGUAUAAACUCAAUAAUGUUACUUGGAUAAUGGAAAUAAGACAUGCAUUGAUAGG